rnacentral:rRNA from 1 species
UGGGGAAUUUUGGACAAUGGGCGAAAGCCUGAUCCAGCAAUGCCGCGUGUGUGAAGAAGGCCUUCGGGUUGUAAAGCACUUUUGUCCGGAAAGAAAUCCUUGGCUCUAAUACAGUUGGGGGAUGACGGUACCGGAAGAAUAAGCACCGGCUAACUACGUGCCAGCAGCCGCGGUAAUACGUAGGGUGCAAGCGUUAAUCGGAAUUACUGGGCGUAAAGCGUGCGCAGGCGGUUUGCUAAGACCGAUGUGAAAUCCCCGGGCUCAACCUGGGAACUGCAUUGGUGACUGGCAGGCUAGAGUAUGGCAGAGGGGGGUAGAAUUCCACGUGUAGCAGUGAAAUGCGUAGAGAUGUGGAGGAAUACCGAUGGCGAAGGCAGCCCCCUGGGCCAAUACUGACGCUCAUGCACGAAAGCGUGGGGAGCAAACAGGAUUAGAUACCCUGGUAGUCCACGCCCUAAAACGAUGUCAACUAGUUGUUGGGGGAUUCAUUUCCUUAGUAACGUAGCUAACGCGUGAAGUUGACCGCCUGGGGAGUACGGUCGCAAGAUUAAAACUCAAAUGAAUUGACGGGGUCAUAGCUGUUUCCU